UGGGGAAUAUUGGACAAUGGGCGAAAGCCUGAUCCAGCCAUGCCGCAUGAGUGACGAAGGCCUUAGGGUUGUAAAACUCUUUCGUCGGGGACGAUAAUGACGGUACCCGAAGAAGAAGCUCCGGCUAACUUCGUGCCAGCAGCCGCGGUAAUACGAAGGGAGCUAGCGUUGUUCGGAAUCACUGGGCGUAAAGCGCACGUAGGCGGAUAGUUAAGUCAGGGGUGAAAUCCUGGGGCUCAACCCCAGAACUGCCUUCGAUACUGGCGAUCUCGAGUCCGGAAGAGGUGAGUGGAACUCCUAGUGUAGAGGUGGAAUUCGUAGAUAUUAGGAAGAACACCAGUGGCGAAGGCGGCUCACUGGUCCGGUACUGACGCUGAGGUGCGAAAGCGUGGGGAGCAAACAGGAUUAGAUACCCCGGUAGUCCCUGAGCGGGCUGGCAAGGCGCAU
rnacentral:rRNA from 1 species